rnacentral:rRNA from 1 species
GAUGAACGCUGGCGGCGUGCCUAAUACAUGCAAGUCGAGCGAACAGACGAGGCGCUUGCUCCUCUGACGUUAGCGGCGCACGGGUGAGUAACACGUGUAUACCCUACCUAUAAGACUGGGAUCACUUCGGGAAACCGGAGCUAAUACCGGAUAAUAUAUUGAACCGCAUUGUUCAAUAGUGAAAGACGGUUUUGCUGUCUCUUAUAGCUGGAUCCGCGCCGCAUUAGAUAGUUGGUAGGGUAACGGCUUACCAAGGCAACGAUGCGUAGCCGACCGGAUAGGGGGAUAGGCCACAUGGGAGCUGAGACGCGGUCCAGACUACUACGGGAGGCAGCAGUAGGGAAUCUUCCGCAAUGGGCGAAAGCUUGACGGAGCAACGCCGCGUGAGUGAUGAAGGUCUUCGGAUCGUAAAACUCUGUUAUUGGGGAAGAACAAAUGUGUAAGUAACUAUGCACGUCUUGACGGUACCUAAUCAGAAAGCCACGGCUAACUACGUG